rnacentral:rRNA from 1 species
CAGUAGCCGCGGGAAUACAGAGGGUGCGAGCGUUAAUCGGAUUUACUGGGCGUAAAGCGUGCGUAGGCGGCUUCUUAAGUCGGAUGUGAAAUCCCUGAGCUUAACUUAGGAAUUGCAUUCGAUACUGGGAAGCUAGAGUAUGGGAGAGGAUGGUAGAAUUCCAGGUGUAGCGGUGAAAUGCGUAGAGAUCUGGAGGAAUACCGAUGGCGAAGGCAGCCAUCUGGCCUAAUACUGACGCUGAGGUACGAAAGCAUGGGGAGCAAACAGGAUUAGAUACCCGGGUAGUCCCUGUCUCUUAUAU